rnacentral:rRNA from 1 species
UGAGGAAUAUUGGUCAAUGGGGGCAACCCUGAACCAGCCAAGUCGCGUGAAGGAUGAAGGUCUUAUGGAUUGUAAACUUCUUUUAUACAGGAAUAAAUUGGGGGACGUGUCCCCUUUUGCAUGUACUGUCUGAAUAAGGAUCGGCUAACUCCGUGCCAGCAGCCGCGGUAAUACGGAGGAUCCGAGCGUUAUCCGGAUUUAUUGGGUUUCAAGGGCGCGCAGGCGGGAUGUUAAGUCGGCGGUGAAAUUUUGCAGCUCAACUGUAAAAGUGCCUUCGAUACUGGCUUCCUUGAGUGUAGAUGAAGUAGGCGGAAUUUGUGGUGUAGCGGUGAAAUGCUUAGAUAUCACGAGGAACUCCGAUUGCGCAGGCAGCUUACUAAACUACAACUGACGCUCAUGCACGAAGGCGUGGGGAUCAAACA